rfam:Aedes albopictus isolate Foshan contig270805, whole genome shotgun sequence.
GACUCCGUAGCUUGACGGAAUAGAAGCGCCCGUCUAGCGAAUUGGGAGUCGUGAGUUCGAGUCUCACCGGAGUAC